rnacentral:lncRNA from 1 species
GGGGGACCAUCACGACUGUGCAGGGAGCAGAGAACACAACUUGAGACAGAGAGCAAAGUGGACCACCAAGAACCUGCCUCCAACAACUUGUUUCUUCUUCCCACCAGGCUUCAUCCUAGCACAGCAUCCCAAGCUGGAAACCAGGUGUGGACAUUUCAGACUCAAACCAUACAGUGCUGGUUGAAACUUGGGACAAGAAGGGGAUUUUCCCUGCCCAUCCCCCUCGUUGUAUCCUUGUGCCUGAGAACUGAUCUCAGGUCCCAAGACUAACACCAGGGCCGUACUACACUCUGGCUGUCUCGCUGUGGUCUUAAUGGACUAGACAUGGAGUAGACAGAUACCUAAUCCAAGUUGUGGGUUGUCACAGUAUCCUUGUACAUGAUUUGGAGUCAAGUCAAAGAUUUGGUCUAAGGACAAUCUAGGAGAGCCAUGUGUUUCUAUCCUCUUUCCCUAAAAGGAUGAGAUAGCCAGUCGUCAGGAGGAGACAGGAGACAGAGGGAAGAGAGAUGCCAGUACCAGACUGCAUGCAGAGAUGGCUACACAGCCCUGCCUGCUUUGAUUCCCCUAAAGUCUAGGAUUCCUAACAACAGAAUCUGCUUGAACUGAAUGAAUGGAAUUCUGUUCCUUGAGGCUGAAGGAAUUUUGAGUCCAGCAGUUUCUUAGCCUUGUGUGUGAAAUCCAAGGCAUCCAUAAGACAACUCAAAGCAGCUGGGGCUGGAUCUGACAGACUUUGAAGUCAAAGUCACCCCACCAUGAGGGAAGGCCUCUAGGAGCUUUCUGAAAGUUUGCAUCUGGCAUGUCCUUGAGAAGUUCGUGUGUGGAUCUCUUGGUCUCCAGGACAGCAGUGUUCAGAGGGCAAGAUGCACGGUGGAGACAGGAAAAUCCUGUGAAGUUCACAGGCCAGCCACCCUGGCAGAGAUGAGGACAAACCACAAAGAGGACCUGUCUCCAGGUAAGGUGGAAGGCAAGGACCAGCACGUAAGAUUGUUCUCUGACCUCAGCACAUGCGGUGGCAUGCACAUGCGGUGGCAUGCACAUGCCAGCAUACACACACACACACACACACACACACACACACACACACACACACACGGUGUUUUGUCAAAGGAACAGACAUUUGGCCAAUGUGCUUAGUUGUAGAGACCCAAGCCUGGGAUCAAGGUAUCAAGAGGGCUCCACUCCCACCAAGAACACAAAAGACAAGCUCUGUGCCUAUCUGGACGGCACAGGCAUCCCCUGGUUUUUGGAUGGAUCACUUCGGUCUCUCGGCAUCUUUACCUUGUCUCUUCUCAUCUCAUCUUGACCUCUUCCGUCUCCCAUCAGAAGAUUUGUGAUUGUCCCACUUGGUUAAUCACGGAUGAUCUAAUUUAGGGUUUCUACCAUUAAUUCUGUCUACAAAGAUCUCCAUUCCAAAUAAGAGCUCACAAGUUUGGAGCCUUAGUAUGUUUAUUUUGUGGGAGGAUCCGCACGCACACAGCUCACUGGAGGGAGAUGACCGGUGGCUGGUUUUCGAUAGAGGGAGGUUGGCUGUCCACGACGUCCAGCAAGUUGUGUUUGGGUGAACUGUAGAAGCAGCCCAGUGUGACUGCCGUGCUGUUGUCUCUUGUAAUGGGUUCAUACGGGAGGCUGUGAAGUAGUGGGAGGAGAAGAGGGGAAAGACUCUUCCCACUCAGUGCGCUCCAGCUUGCUUUGGAGCACACAGGUGUCAUUAAUUUAAUCCUGGAACUGUGGCUUUUUAAGGAGAAGCCAGCAUGGGAACUGUGGGCAUUCCUCUUCAGCCUGUCCCUUGGUUCCCAUAAACAUCAGCCUACAAGCCUUCAUUUUCCCUCAGCAAAUGUACAAGUGAUGGUGGGCAUGCUGCCCAGAUGUUGUGAAGGGAGCCACCGAGGGUGGUGUCAGCUGGUCUGGAAGGGUAUCCUCUCUAGGGAUGUACCAGGGGUAAGGGCACCGAGCUCUGGUCCUCAGCUGAUGCUAGGACCGAAGAAAACAAGUCCUCCAAGUGGUCUGUAUGUCAGCCCUGGUGGCCCUGGAUGGGCUGAGAGGACAAGGAGAGGAACCCCACCCCCCACUGUGCUUUCGUUUCCCCAGAACUCCGUGGGUGACCUUGCAGAUGUGCUUUGUCAACCCAGACACCUCAGUCUCUCUGCAGGACCCACAAAGGGAACCCCACUGGGCGCUCCUCUCCCCCUUCCUGUCCCACGUCUGUUUGUUACACAGUCUAUGAAGAACCUACUCAAGACGGUCCACACUGACUGCCCGAAACUGCUCCUUCCUCGCUCCCCGCUCCUGCCCUUGGUCCAUAAACUAAGAAAAUGCACUUUUCUACCCAACCUGGAGCGCAUCCGUAAGUGACAUAGAAAGUUCAGUUCAACACUAGCGAAAAUUGAAUUUAUCUCGGAAAUGCUUUAUUCUUCCAGAAGCUCACUUUGGCAAAGUCUAAUGUAUAGAAAAGCAUGAAAUACUGUGGCUCUAGCCGCAGCAACUUCUUCAGCUACGCAUUAAGCCGCAGGGUCCGAAUCCAGCCUCGCUUCCGUCAACCACUCUCUUUAACUCAAAUGCCCGUCAAUGUCCCUGCUAAAUGGGAGUCUUGUGCGCAUCGCAUCUUAUCAUAAUGUCACAAAACCCAUAGAAUUACAAAUCAGGUUUAAGGCGGAAAACAUGACAGGGAAAUAAAAGUACACAAAAAGUACAUUAAGUAUCAGUCUUCAUUUAUACUCCCCGUUCCAGCCUACCUCUCAGCUCAGCCCCACACUGCACGCAGCCCAGCUUGAGGUAGCCUAAGAUCCAUUUUAGAGUGGACUGAAAUAUAAAUGACAGUUCGCUCUGCACAUGAACAUAGACAACUGUAUAAAAUAUUUAAAUAAAGACAGGAAAGAACAGAGGAUUGCCACGAAGCCUUUGGCAGACUCAGCCUUGGGGGAAUUUAGCAGCUUGAGAUUCAUUACAAAUUUCGUCUUUAAUGUUAUUUUUAGUUCAAUAUUUUGUAGCACUCAGAAGUAAAUCUUGGUGUGCUGUCUCCUCUUCCCCUGGCUUCCUCUCCUUCGGUGUCUGAUCCUUCAGUUUUACUGAACCCUAAUACGGUUUCAAUAAAAUUGAUUUGUGACGUCGUAAUGCUGUUUGUUACGGCUCCUCUUUCUUGAUGUAAUGGGGGGAGGACUGUUGGAUGAUUCGGCAGAGUGAGGAGGAUCGCUCUUGAUUGGAGAAUAAAUUGUCAUGAAGCUAGAAACAGCCUGCUGCAGUGUGAACUCUCCGUCUCUCUGCCCCUCCUGCAGUCUCCCAUCUUGAAUUUCUGGCCCUGUGUUAUGGCCCCGAAUGCAUCAUCUGUCCCCUGUGAAGAGAGCUGUCACCAAAAUAAAGACUCAAAGGAGACAAAAGACAUGGGUUUUGAAAUAAC